rnacentral:snoRNA from 2 species
ACAGGAAGGAAGCAUGGUAGUGUGCACGGAGACGAACAUGGUCUGCAUGUCUGCUCGCCUUGAUGCCCUCGGGCUUUGAUCUUGCGGGCCUGGAUUCGACCUACACGC